GGUGGGGUCGCAUAGAGGCCUAGUGCGGCUGCUUGGAAAGCAGCUAUACCUUAAAAGGGUAUCGUGGGUUCGAAUCCCACCCCCACCG
rnacentral:tRNA from 1 species